rnacentral:lncRNA from 1 species
UAUAUUUCUCUGGAUCGAUUUAGGCUUGAGGCAUAUCAAUUACAAUAGUUUUUCAGUUUCAAUUAACUUAGUUAUAGACCAUUGGGUUAUUGGCCAACAAAAUACAUCAUUUUAAAUCUUGCAUUGCCAUCCAUAAUUAUAUAAUUAAUCUAUAAAUUUAUUUAUUUUUAUUUUUAGAGAUUAUAAAUCAUAUCUUUUCA